AGUGAACGCUGGCGGUAGGCCUAACACAUGCAAGUCGAACGGCAGCACAGUAAGAGCUUGCUCUUACGGGUGGCGAGUGGCGGACGGGUGAGGAAUACAUCGGAAUCUACUUUUUCGUGGGGGAUAACGUAGGGAAACUUACGCUAAUACCGCAUACGACCUACGGGUGAAAGCAGGGGAUCUUCGGACCUUGCGCGAUUGAAUGAGCCGAUGGCGGAUUAGCUAGUUGGCGGGGUAAAGGCCCACCAAGGCGACGAUCCGUAGCUGGUCUGAGAGGAUGAUCAGCCACACUGGAACUGAGACACGGUCCAGACUCCGACGGGAGGCAGCAGUGGGGAAUAUUGGACAAUGGGCGCAAGCCUGAUCCAGCCAUACCGCGUGGGUGAAGAAGGCCUUCGGGUUGUAAAGCCCUUUUGUUGGGAAAGAAAAGCAGCAGGUUAAUACCCCGCUGUUCUGACGGUACCCAAAGAAUAAGCACCGGCUAACUUCGU
rnacentral:rRNA from 1 species